CAUUUUAGUGGCGGACGGGUGAGUAACGCGUGGGUAACCUGCCUCACACUGGGGGAUAACACUUAGAAAUAGGUGCUAAUACCGCAUAAGCGCACGGGACUGCAUGGUCUUGUGUGAAAAACUCCGGUGGUGUGAGAUGGACCCGCGUCUGAUUAGCUGGUUGGCGGGGUAACGGCCCACCAAGGCGACGAUCGGUAGCCGGCCUGAGAGGGUGGACGGCCACAUUGGGACUGAGACACGGCCCAAACUCCUACGGAAGGCAGCAG
rnacentral:rRNA from 1 species